CCCCAGUUCGGAUCGCAGCCUGCAACCCGGCUGCGUGAAGCUGGAAUCGCUAGUAAUCGCGGAUCAGAAUGCCGCGGUGAAUACGUUCCCGGGUCUUGUACACACCGCCCGUCACACCAUGGGAGCCGGAAACGCCCGAAGCCAGCGGCCCAACCGCGAGGAGGGAGCUGUCGAAGGCGGGUCCGGUGACCGGGGUGAAGUCGUAACAAGGUACC
rnacentral:rRNA from 1 species